UUUUACUCUUUUGCACUAUCCUGUCCUCGUCGGAUGCGCUCGAACCGUCAGGCAGUGAAUGAAACGAGAAAAAUCCGAGGCAGGAAUAGAGAAUUGCUGGAGAACACUGACUGUGGUGGAGUGGAGUUAGCCUGAUGUGCAAGAAAAUGACGGCAUCGUCAGACCUAAAGUUCGUGUUAAGUCACAAUGAAGACAAAAAGCCACCGGACAGAAUGAAGAGCAACAGUCAGCCUGCAGAUGGAAACAAGGGUGGGUGGUUGGAAGGCUGAAUAAAGGCUGGUAGAUGACUGAACUCAGAGACCCGGCACAGCUCAUCAUCAUUGCCAUGGGCUCUCAUCUUCUGCCUCUUCCUCCUGUGGCUCGUACCUCCAUCCAGGGGUCCAGCAGAGCCAGCGAAGCCCAGGCGGGGAGCUAGUGAGUGGGCUGGGAAGGAUGGAGAAGGUCCCCAAAGGCUAGAAUCACCUCUGGAGCUACCGGCAUGCAGGAGAAAUCAAUAUGAAACACAGAACCUUCACAGCUCUGAGUGGGGUUUCCUGUGUUUUAAGUGUGUGGCCUAGGGGCCCGCAGACCUCCAAAGGACAGGCCCUGCGUGGCUCUCUCAGCUGCAGUCCUGGCUCCUCAGACUGGACCUCAGUCCGGAUCUCCACUGGCUGUGUGUGGUUCUGCUGAAGGGGAUUUCUCCCCAAAUAAUACCCAAUACCCAGAUUGUUGAAAGACUGCCAAGAGGGAUCCUCCUUUCUCUUGAUUUUUUUUUCUCCAUCAUCAGAUUGACAUACCCCCCUCCACCCCACCUUCUGCCUCCGGCUGUUUAAAAACCAGUUUGGGAGUUCUGCUUUUGACUCACUCUCCAUCCUAAGCUCACCCGUUGUUUAUUCCCCAACUAGUUUUUACAUUUGACAAAGAGACAGUGCGAUCUUUAUUUUCUCUUCCGCUCUUGGCUUGCCGUUACUAUGGUGAGCUGUAGACACGUGUCUGUUCAAACCAGAAAUACUGGCACACGAAGUAUGAACCUCUUUUUUUUCCCUCCACGAUGCCUAUUAUUAUUAUUCAAUUUCAGACUGUUUUUUUAAAAAAAACAACUGACUGACUGAACAGUAAAGAGGGCUGAAGAUCACAGAGCAGACAGACCUUGUAGUGGAGAUGGUAAAAUG